CUAUCCCAGAACCUGCAUUUGAUAAAUUACUCGCAACACACCUCCUCCGGGGGGUGGGGGCUCGAAGCAAACAGUGACUCUUUCAAACGUUCAGUAACAUCUCUCAUCAUGGCUCCCGUAAAACUCGCUCGGCGGUUACGAUUCCCUCAAAUCUGUAAUCUUUAAGCCACAUGUGUGCCAGACAACGACACUGCAACACCCACUCUCUAUAUAAAGGGGACUCUUAGCAGUCCCCAAGGUUAGAAUCUGCUUACUCUAUAAAUCCCCAUUCUGACUCAAAUCCUGACUUGAGCGUGUAUGCAUGUACACCUCCUGCCAUUCCAAUCAACAACUGAGACUUCAACCACCGUAUCAAAUUGCAUCGGUAGUCAUCUUUUGAUCGGGUACGAUUAG
rnacentral:lncRNA from 1 species